rnacentral:rRNA from 1 species
GACGUAGGGUGCAAGCGUUAAUCGGAAUUACUGGGCGUAAAGCGUGCGCAGGCGGCUUUGUAAGUCUGUCGUGAAAUCCCCGGGCUUAACCUGGGAAUUGCGAUGGAGACUGCAAGGCUAGAAUCUGGCAGAGGGGGGUAGAAUUCCACGUGUAGCAGUGAAAUGCGUAGAGAUGUGGAAGAACACCGAUUGCGAAGGCAGCCCCCUGGGUCAAGAUUGACGCUCAUGCACGAAAGCGUGGGGAGCAAACAGG